UGUGUAGGCGGUGCUCUAAGUUCGGUGUGAAAUCUCCCGGCUUAACUGGGAGGGUGCGCCGGAAACUGGAGUGCUCGAGCGUGGGAGAGGAAAGCGGAAUUCCUGGUGUAGCGGUGAAAUGCGUAGAUAUCAGGAGGAACACCUGCGGUGUAGACGGCUUUCUGGACCAUUGCUGACGCUGAGACACGAAAGCGUGGGUAGCAAACAGGAUUAGAUACCCUGGUAGUCCACGCCCUAAACGAUGCAUACUUGGUGUCGGCCAUUCAGUUGGUCGGUGCCGGAGCUAACGCGUUAAGUAUGCCGCCUGGGGAGUACGGUCGCAAGGCUGAA
rnacentral:rRNA from 1 species